UUGGUACAAUGUCGCAAGGUUGAUUAACAGUGUAAAUUUACUUUCCCCUCAAAGUAACUCAACCAUACGCCGCAACAAAAGUGAGUACACCCCAAAGUGAAAAUGUCAUGUGUGUAUUUUUAGCCAUUUUCCCCUCCCGUUGUUCUGUGACUCUUUAGUUAUACAAGAUCUCAGGUAUAAUAGAUGACAAAAAAAAAUGUGUGGGGUGUACUUUUGUGAGUUCUCCACAUCGCUCAGACUUGGCGUUCUGCCGACCUGACUAAUCUUUUGUGAUGUGUGUCUGCAUGAUAGGUGCUCAUUGUGGCCUGCACGGCAUUCGCCGGCGUGCUGGCAUUGAACUACCAGCGCGAGUAUACCGUGUGGGUCCUUCCCCUCCUCAUCGUUUGCGUGUUUGCCUACAUGGUGGCCCACUGUUUCCUCUCGGUUUUCGAGAACGUGGUGGACGUGCUCUUCCUCUGCUUUGCUGUCGACAGCAAGUACAACGACGGCAGCGCCGGUCGGGAGUACUUCAUGGACAAGACCUUAAUGGAAUAUGUUGAGAAUAGUAAGAAAAGUGGCCGUUACAAGCCAGAGGAUGGAAGUGGACGAGAGAUGAAGCCUAUGGUGAGUUCAGAAAUGUUGUUCAGUUACAUUGCGAGCUGCUACAUGCUUGUGCAAGUUAAUUCAACUGAAUGAAUUCAACUUUUUUUUUU